UGGCCAUUUUCUUUUCUUUUUGGACUGUUGAUUUUAAUCUGUUACAUUCAGGGGAUGCUGCCAUUGGUGAAGGUGUGACUAGACACUUCUUUUCAACUGUUAUACAGAGGCUUCAGCAUGGUUUCAAUUUUAACAUGGGAAAUACUGCAAGGACCUGUCUCUUUGAAGGUGAACCAGGCCAUCUUGUUCCAUCAUCUUCACAAUUUCUCAUAGAGAGUGAUCUGUUCCAAGUUGCAGGACGCAUGAUUGGACAUGCAUUCCUACAUGGUGGACCUCGCCUGGCUGGAGUCAGCCAAGCAAUGGCCCAUGUACUUCUAGGUGGUUCAGCUGAAACUGCUACAGUGCAAAUCGAAGACUGUCCUGACCAUGAUAUUCGUGAAACCAUAAAACUACUUGAUGGAGAGGCAGAACUCAGUAGUGAAGAAUAUCAAGCUGUCCUUGACCUGAGUCUUGCUUAGGAUCUUCCUGGCCCAACCAAAGAAAACCGGAAGUGGCUUUUUGAGCGCCUAUUAUCACAUGCGGUCAUUGGAAGGAGAUUACGGCAGUUGAAACAAAUACGUAAAGGACUUAAAGAAACCAGAGUGUGGCCACUGUUGAGUGAAAGGAAAGGUGUGGAAUUCUUUCUGGGGGAAAAUGAAAAUUCACUCACC